GACGAACGCUGGCGGCGUGCCUAACACAUGCAAGUCGAGCGAGAAUUUAGCAGAGGAUUCCUUCGGGAUGAAUCUAUUAAAGGAAAGCGGCGGACGGGUGAGUAACGCGUGAGUAACCUGCCUUCAGGAGGGGGACAACAUUUCGAAAGGGAUGCUAAUACCGCAUGAAAUUGCUUUAUCGCAUGGUAGAGCAGUCAAAGAUUUAUCGCCUGAAGAUGGACUCGCGUCUGAUUAGCUAGUUGGUGAGGUAACGGCUCACCAAGGCGACGAUCAGUAGCCGAACUGAGAGGUUGAUCGGCCACAUUGGGACUGAGACACGGCCCAGACUCCUACGGGAGCAGCAGUGGGGAUAUUGCGCAAUGGGGGAACCCUGACGCAGCAACGCCGCGUGAAGGAUGAAGUUUCGGAUGUAAACUUCUUUAAGUGGGGAAGAUAAUGACGGUACCCACAGAAUAAGCCACGGCUAACUACGUGCCAGCAGCCG
rnacentral:rRNA from 1 species